CCUACGGGAGGCAGCAGUGAGGAAUAUUGGUCAAUGGGCGAGAGCCUGAACGAGCCAAGUCGCGUGAGUGAAGACGGUCCUACGGAUUGUAAACCCCUUUUGUAAAGGAGUAAAGAGGGCCACGAGUGGUGUGGCGAUUGUACGUGAUGAACAAGCAUCGGCUAACUCCGUGCCAGCAGCCGCGGUAAUACGGAGGAUGCGAGCGUUAUGCGGAUUUAUUGGGUUUAAAGGGAGCGCAGGAGGAGGCGUAAAGUCAGGGGUAAAAUUGUGGGGUCAACCUUCAAAGUGCCGUUGAUACUGGGAGUCUAGAGUGCGGUUGAGGUAUGCGGAAUUCGUGGUGUAGCGGUGAAAUGCUUAGAUAUCACGCAGAACUCCGAUUGCGAAGGCAGCAUACUGGAGUCUAACUGACGCUGAUGCUCGAAAGCGUGGGUAUCGAACAGGAUUAGAUACCCUAGUAGUC
rnacentral:rRNA from 1 species